rnacentral:rRNA from 1 species
UACGAAGGGGGCUAGCGUUAUUCUGCAGUAUUGGGUGUAAAGGGUAUGUAGGUGGCCACUCAAACCCACUGUCAAAUUUUUGAGAAGAACUGAAGACGGACAGAGGCCGAUUGGGUGGCUAGAGUUAUGCAGGAGUUGGGAGAAUUUCAUAAGGAUGGAUCAAAUCAGCAGAUUUAUGAAGGAAGACCAAAGGCGAAGGCACCUUUCUAUGUAUAACUGACACUGAGGUACGAGAGGAUGGGUAUCAAACGGG